GGUCAGUUAGCUCAGCAGGUUAGAGCACCGUGCUGGUAACGCUGAGGUCAUCGGUUCAAACCCCGUAUGGGGCA
rfam:Poecilia formosa, whole genome shotgun sequence.